UGAUGACAACCCUAAGCCUGUAUGGACAUGGGUAUCAGUUAUUUAGCUUUACUUUCUAUCUCUCUACUUCCUUGACCAUGUUACAGUGAACCAGGCGGAAUCAUGCUUUCCCAGGAGCAGUACGCCAGUUUAUCACCAGCUGUCGAGGCCAUGUUGUAAGGAAACCAGUUUUAAAGGGCGCACUACAGUCCGACGUUUCCCCUGCGAGGACGACGGCGGCUGUUGCGGUGACUACGGCUCCCAGUACUGCUGCGACGUUCCCGUUUCCAGUUUGUCUGUGGGUCUGGGAGUUGGCCUGACUGUCUUCGUCCUCGUCCUUCUAGGUAUCGUAGCUCUCGUCAUCUACUGCUACCUGAACAUCAGCUACCACAAGAAGGGCCAGGAGAUCUACUGUGCCGCCUGCUGCAGGUGUAAAGUUCGAGAUUCAACGAAACCGGCCAUGCCGUUCAGCAGCAUCCCUGUUAACGUGAGCAACGUUGAGUCGACAUUCGACACAGAGGUGUAUGAACACCGCCACCAGCCCUACCCAGAUCCAGACGUCUUCAAGACGCCAGUGACGCCUCAAUGUCAGACCAGUCCAGACACAGAAAAUCAUAUCCCGCCAUCAUACACGGAUGCCGUGUCUCGUCCAGAAAUAUUCGUCACCUCUCGACAAUUUCCGUAACCAUCAAGUGAUUCGGCUUGUCCCGAAAGUAGUAGCUAUAGAGCUGGUUUCAAAUGUUAUAGUUUUCCGAUAGGCGCAAGAGUCAAGGUGAUGUUUGAGAUCCACGAAGGACAACCAUGACAAGUAUCAAUCACUGGAUUGUGUGCUCCAGACUCGAAUAUUUACUGGCAGGACUGACUACUGCUGGAAUAUUGCUCAGUUCGGUGUAAACAACUAACAGUCUACCUCGUUUAUCCAGCUUUGUGAUACCCACCUCUAUUUCAAAGUUGCUCUCUUCAGUUUAUGACAUCGAGGCGCCAUAUUGUUCUUCGCCUAGGAACCUACCUCAUGAGGGCAGCAUGUUCUCUGUGUGUUUCACGUAGUCACAGUGAUGUAAUGUUGGACCACAGGCAAACUGUAGCGCAAAAAGUGUUGCGCAACAAAGAGAAAAUGACCAGUCUUCCUAUAAGCGAACGAGGCGAGCAAACUUCCCUCGCUUCGGUUCGAAAAAUAUUUUUAAUAUCAAAAUGAAAUAUCGGCACCAUCAACUGUAGACACCCAUUUGUGCUCUCAGAUUUCCAACCUCAUAUUUAAUAAUUACUCACGUAAAACAUAUUUAAUUCACCACGUUCUUCGCCUCCAUUACCCCUGCCAGCUUCCGGUUCAACGAUUCGAUAUUUACAGACCGCCGCAAUACAGCUGGAAUAUUACUGUAUUCGGCGUUAAACAACAAACAAACAAAUAAUCCGCCCGGGAAGUUCUCAACAGGGGAACACCCGACGCCAUAUUUGUGUGAAGUUGUACAACGACGGUAUCAGGUAUACUAUCAAGUCAGCUUACAGUAACGACAUUCUUUUAAAUAUCUCAAGCAUGGCCGGGAAGAAAACGCUUGCGUUCACUGACAUAAUUUAAAGGGCCUAAACAAUUACCCCUGUAAACAUCCGAUUGCUGAAGAUAUUUGCCCCCGCUUGUUGUAACAGGCGACUGACGGGAUCGGGUGGUCGGACUCACUCACUUGGUUUAUGCAUCAAAACUGCAUAACUGCUCAGAUGGAAAAGUGCUGAGUAUGAAUAACAAGGGACCUCCCCAUCUCCCACGCACACACACGCACACACGCACAGACAGGGAGAGAGAUUUCUUCACACACAGGUUUUGCAAUAAUACAGUGUAUAUGUUAGAAAAAGACCAUCUUCAAGCAGGAAGGAAGACCAUGAUAGAGUAUGGAGAUGCUGUUUCCCAUCUUGUUGGACUUUAAAGUCAGUUGUGUAUGAAUCAUCAUUGUGGACAUGAUUGUGAUCGUGAUUAGUGCUUUAUCAAAUUCUUAUAUUUACGCAGUUACAUAAUGCUAAACAUUGUGUGCAGUUAUGUAUUAUGUAUGGUUGUGAUUAGUAAUUUAUCAAUUUAUGUAUG